rnacentral:misc_RNA from 1 species
CUGGUAAGGUGUGUGUUGACGUCACAAUAUCAGCUGUUGAUUCCAGGAAUCGGUAUUGCCAGUUGCUUAACUGUUCAGGAGCAAACUAAGAUAGCAGCACGCUAUGAAGUGUGGAAUUCCGUUGUUUUGGUUCAGAGAUGGUGGCAUGCAUGGAAAGGUAAGCAUGCAACACUACGUCUGGAGACAAUAAAGAGUUGUCAUGCAAAGCUGAUGACCAUGAGCUCUGUGAACAAUGCAAGAAGUGGCUGACCUACCACAUCCCAAUCAGCGGAGAACGUGGCAACAAAAAUCAACACAUCAAGCAGCUCAUGAAAGUGGACUAGCAAGACACACAAUACAUAUGGUGUUGCAUAAAGAAUUGAAUUUUCAUCCAUUACAUGCAGGAACUAAAACCUGAGGACUGUGACCACAGAAGUCCAGAACUCCAAGAUGUCCAGAUCUCACUC